UAGGGAAUCUUCCGCAAUGGACGCAAGUCUGACGGAGCAACGCCGCGUGAGUGAAGAAGGAUUUCGGUUCGUAAAACUCUGUUGUUAGAGAAGAACAGCGCAUAGAGUAACUGUUAUGCGUGUGACGGUAUCUAACCAGAAAGCCACGGCUAACUACGUGCCAGCAGCCGCGGUAAUACGUAGGUGGCAAGCGUUGUCCGGAUUUAUUGGGCGUAAAGCGAGCGCAGGCGGUCAAUUAAGUCUGAUGGGAAAGCCCCCGGCUCAACCGGGGAGGGUCAUUGGAAACUGGUUGACUUGAGUGCAGAAGAGGAGAGUGGAAUUCCAUGUGUAGCGGUGAAAUGCGUAGAUAUAUGGAGGAACACCAGUGGCGAAGGCGACUCUCUGGUCUGUAACUGACGCUGAGGUUCGAAAGCGUGGGUAGCAAACAGG
rnacentral:rRNA from 1 species